rnacentral:rRNA from 1 species
UGACGACAAUAGCGUCUUGGAACCACCUCUUCCCAUCCCGAACAGAGCCGUGAAACGAGACUGCGCCAAUGAUAGUGUGGAUUACCCAUGUGAAAGUAGGUCAUCGUCA